GAUGUUUCCAGCGUGCUCUGCAAUGACAGAACUUCUACAGAAAUUCUCCAAAGAGGGGCCCCUGAGUGGCUCAGUCAGAUUUCCUGUAGUCUUACCUGGACUUUAUCACCACCAUUUGCCAUCAUCAUUAUCUUGAAAUUAUUUUAACAUCGUCAUUACUUUUUAGUUUGUGAACCCUCUCACAUGAGUUACCUCCUUUGAUCUUCCCUGAAAUCCUUCCAGCCUGCCAUCACCCUCACCACCUCUUCUACCAUUCUUGCCCUCAACAUCAACACCAGAAACACCAGCAUGCUGAGCUAAGUUGCCGCAAAUGUGAAAGAAACUUAUAUUGAUAAAUUUCUUUUUAAUGGGUUGAUGAAGAAGGAAGAAGGAUGGAAAGAAAGAAGGUUACUAUCUUUUGGUGAGAAUGAGAAGGCUGUGUGAGGUUACAUCUUGCCCAAGUCUUCAGAGAGACAGAAUCAGGAUUUGAACUGAGUUCUUACUCAGUGAAUUAUGCCUCAUUAUUUCACUUCAAGCAAAGAGCCAGC